AGGUUUAAACUUGGGUGUAUAAAUUACGGCAUGAAUUAGACCGUCUAUUUUGCAUUUAUAUUGUUUUAUCUUUAAAUAUAUUUGUUGGGUAAAGUACAAAGCUUUGAGCUUGGAAUUGGGAUUGAAAUUUUAAGCAACCAUUACAUUUUUUUUAAUGUUUCAACUUAAAUAAUUUUUUUAGACUUCUAAGGCAUGGCGUAAUCGUGUCUAGUUCUUUCUACCAUUCCCACGUCCCUCUUUCAUUGUCAACAGGGGGAAAUCAUAUUUGAGCUGUAUGAAACUUUUCAAUUUGGUUAUGAUGAACAAGGUAUCGAUCUAGUUGCAGAAGGUUCAUAUGGGGCACAAUUGAAGGAGAGAGAGGAAAUCUAUGUCAUGACUCAUGAUUGUCCAAUACAUAAUUUGGGGCAAAGUGAAAUAUAUACAAAUAUAUAAUGAUGAAGACAACCCUUGAUGUGGUAGCAGGUUCAAUUAGAUAAAAUUUCUUGGAGACGAUAUAG